AGCGGCCGCGGUAAUUCCAGCUCCAAUAGCGUAUAUUAAAGUUGUUGCAGUUAAAAAGCUCGUAGUUGAAUUUCGGGAUUAGUAAGUUGGUCGUGCCUCUGGUAUGUACUGGCUUUACUGGUUCCUCCUUCUUGAAGAACUGUAAUGUCAUUAAUUUGGUGUUGCAGGGAAACAGGACUGUUACUUUGAAAAAAUUAGAGUGUUUAAAGCAGGCUAACGCUUGAAUACAUUAGCAUGGAAUAAUGAAAUAGGACGUUUGAUCCUAUUUUGUUGGUUUCUAGGAUUGACGUAAUGAUUAAUAGGGAUAGUUGGGGGCAUUAGUAUUCAAUUGUCAGAGGUGAAACUCUUGGAUUUAUUGAAGACUAACUACUGCGAAAGCAUUUGCCAAGGAUGUUUUCAUUAAUCAAGAACGAAAGUUAGGGGAUCGAAGACGAUCAGAUACCGUCGUAGUCUUAACCAUAAACUAUGCCGACUAGGGAUCGGAUGAUGUUAAUUUUUUAAUGACUCAUUCGGCGCCUUA
rnacentral:rRNA from 1 species